UACACAUCCAUUCCUUUUGUUCUGUAGUUUAUGUGUGUGCUUUUGAGUUCAACACAACAUUUAAUCAGUUUAACCUCAUCGACUGAGAGCUGCUCAGGUGCAUUUAGAUAAACUGACAGAUCCAUGUUUCUCUGCUGGUUGUGACAAAGUAUUAGAUUUGUCUUAAAAUACAUGGAAUUUAAAUCUAAGACUGUCCACCUUGUCGUUUUAAUUUAUGAAUGCUGAUAGAUCUGUUGCAGAUGACUUUGAGUCUGCUCGUGAGUGAAACUGAAGUGCAGUUGUUCUUCCGCUCCAGUAGGCGGCGGAAGCGGCUUCACGUUCAGUCUGAGCGCUUCCGAUGAGUGACAGAAUGACGCUUGUUGUGACAACAUGUGCAGACCGUUUAAAAUACAGAUCCUGCAGAUGACAGCUCAGUGACAGUGUUUUUAAUAUCACUAAACAGCAUAUAUUCCAGCACAUAAACAAACAAAACCGACACCCGCUGCGAUAAAGUGCAGGAAUCGAGAGACACUAUUAAGGGAUGUGUUUGAACAGAAGCAGAGCUCUGGAUGUGUGGACAGACUUUCACCGUAAUGAUGGACAUCCGCUCGUGGACAGAAGUAUAACCCCUGCUGGACAUGGUGCCGAGGGCUCGGGGGGGACCCAAAUCGUCCCCAUCCCUUCAUUCACACAACACUCACUCAUAUCGCGGAGAUCUGGCUGGGAUCGAACCAGCAACCUCUGAACCGUGAGGCAGCACUCUUACCUGUGAGCCACAGAUCUCUUGCUUAAACUUGUGAAGGAACUUAUAUUUCACUGUUAGCCUGUAUGUGAUUUUUACAAUAAACCAGUUAAAGCUUUGGCAGAGUCAUUUUUCAAAUCAUCCUUACCCUUCACUCACAUCGGGCCGGGUUUGAACCAGCAACCUCUGAACCGUGAGGCAUCAGUUAUCUGAACACACACCAAGCUGGGAUUUGAACCCAUGCCUCAAUUCCAACUUCAUCAGCCAACAACAUGUGCUUAACCACUAACCCAUUGUGGUUUUCACAAGUGGACAUAGCUUUUGUGGCACUUUGUUGAAUGUAACAACAACAAUAUGAAAUGUACAGUAGUGAGAUUUGAACUCCGCUCUCUUAGAUGAAAGUCCAGUGCUUUAUCUGCUGAGCCACUGAAUCUCUGGAGCUGUUUGGUGUUCUGGAUGAGGUUUUAUUAAGAACUAUGUCUGAACUAAUGAAGAACAACAGUAUUUCUGGGAUUUGAACCCAGACGUUGGCAAAUAGUAGAGAAAUUCUCCUUCACUGAGUUUGUUGCAUUUUCCUAGUUUUUGAUGUUUAGUUUAGCAACAGCAUCAUUAACAAUUUAAUAAGCAAUGGUGGGAUUUGAACUCAGGUCUCCACGAUUAAAACACAGCACGCAGUCAUCUGAGCUACUCAGUCUGUGGAGCUGAAGGUAGUUUUGGAGAGACUUUUAUUGAGGGCUUUUAAUGAUGUUAUGAAAAACUGUAAAUUGCAGAGUUUGAACCAAGAUGCUCGUGUUUGAAGGCAAGCGAUUAUCCUCGGCGCCACAGCGUUUGUGACAUCAGGGUUUUAUUGAGAUUUUGACUUUGUUUUACAUGACUUGAACUCAGGACUACAAGAUCAAUGUAUUAACAAAUCAUUCAGAUUUAAAUGUACAAACAAUCAUAAUUAUCUUCAAGAACUUUAUUGAUUCAUCAAAUGUCAAAAUCAAGUAGAUAAACAAACACACAAAAUGUAAAUAGCAUCAUUUGUUAAUUUUUAAUUAUUAUUAUUUAUUUUAAUAAGAAACAUAGGGUCCAACAAACUUGCCUGGAAGUCUCUAGUGAUCCUAAACACCUCGAUUAGCUGCUUCAGGUGUUUUCAAUCAGUGUGGAGCUAAACUCAGGAAAGCGGUUCAGCAGGAGCAGGAUCAGACAGCGCUGUUCAUAAUGCAGUUUUACAGAUAAUUGCAGAUACACGUGUUGUCCACAAAGUGGUGCUGAGUGCUGAUCUGAUCUCAUGCAUGUGUCUGUUCUAUUAAUUAUUAAAAAUAAGCAAAAAACAUAGACAACAGAGACAACACACAACAAUCACUGUUUAACUGUGAACAAACAUGGUACACAUCCAUUCCUUUUGUUCUGUAGUUUAUGUGUGUGCUUUUGAGUUCAACACAACAUUUAAUCAGUUUAACCUCAUCGACUGAGAGCUGCUCAGGUGCAUUUAGAUAAACUGACAGAUACAUGUUUAUCUGCUGGUUGUGACAAAGUAUUAGAUUUGUCUUAAAAUACAUGAAAUGUAAAUCUAACACUGUCCACUUUGUCGUUUUAAUUGAUGAAUGCUGAUAGAUCUGUUGCAGAUGACUUUGAGUCUGCUCGUGAGUGAAACUGAAGUGCAGUUGUUCUUCCGCUCCAGUAGGCGGCGGAAGCGGCUUCACGUUCAGUCUGAGCGCUUCCGAUGAGUGACAGAAUGACGCUUGUUGUGACAACAUGUGCAGACCGUUUAAAAUACAGAUCCUGCAGAUGACAGCUCAGUGACAGUGUUUUUAAUAUCAAUAAACAGCAUCUAUUCCAGCACAGAAACAAACCAAACCGACCCCCGCUGUGAUAAAGUGCAGGAAUGGAGAGUCACUAUUAAGGGAUGUGUUUGAACAGAAGCAGAGCUCUGGACGUGUGCACAGACUUUCACUGUAAUGAUGGACAUCCGCUCGUGGACAGAAUAAGGGAUGUAUUUGAACAGAAGCAGAGCUCUGGGACGUGUGGACAGACUUUCACUGUAAUGAUGGACAUCCGCUCGUGGACAGUGUGUGCAAAAGUAUAACCGCUGCGGGUCACAGUGCUGGAAGCUCCAGGGGGAGACCGUACUGAUAUCCCCCUUCUUCAGGCGCGCCUUCACACACACUCCUCCAUUCACUCGUAUCGCAGAGACCUGGCUGGGAUCGAACCAGCAACCUCUGAACCAUGAGGCAGCGCUCUUACCUGCGAGCCACAGAUCUCUUGUCUGAACACGUAAAGGAACUUAUAUUUCACUGUUAACUUGUAAUUCCACAAUAAACUAGCUAAAGCUUUCAAUUGUGUGUGUCAUUUGAAAUGCUGAAGUGAGACUUGAACCCAUGCUUCAAUCAUAGCCUUGAACGACAUGGACAUUGUUUAGCCAGUAGUGCCACUGUGGCUCUCAUGUUGGGUGACGGCAUUGGGGCACUUUGUUUGAUAUAAGGCCAACAAGUUAACAUAAGCAAUAAUGGGAUUCAAACUCAGAUCUUCUUAAAUAAACCACAACACUUUAUGAACUGAGUCACUAAGGCUGGUGUGUUAAGUUGUGGUUCAGAUGGUAUUAAGUUGAGAUCUUUGUUUUAAAUGAAAAGAAACAUUAACAUCAGUUUGUUCCAGCUGGGAUUGAACCAACAACCUCUGACACCAUGAGACAGCUCUUUUAUCUGUGAGCCACAGAUCUCAUGUCUCAGCCUGUGCAGGAACUUUUAUUUUACUGUCAACCUGUAUGUGACCUGUGAUUUUAUAAUAAACUAUCCUGUAAAUAUGAU